UUUACACGUCGAAUUUUGGUCGCGUCGAAUGCAAUUAAGACAAUAGAUAAUGAGAUGAUAAACCUCAUUAAGUUUCAUUAUCUAUUGUUUGAAUUGCAUUCGACGCGACCGAAAUUCGACGUAUAAA
rnacentral:miRNA from 1 species